GGGUUGUGAGGUUAAGCGACUAAGCGUACACGGUGGAUGCCCUGGCAGUCAGAGGCGAUGAAGGGCGUGCUAAUCUGCGAUAAGCGCCGGUAAGGUGAUAUGAACCGUUAUAACCGGCGAUACCCGAAUGGGGAAACCCAGUGUGAUUCGUCACACUAUCAUUACGUGAAUACAUAGCGUAAUGAAGCGAACCGGGGGAACUGAAACAUCUAAGUACCCCGAGGAAAAGAAAUCAACCGAGAUUCCCCCAGUAGCGGCGAGCGAACGGGGAGGAGCCCAGAGCCUGAAUCAGCAUGUGUGUUAGUGGAAGCGUCUGGAAAGGCGCGCGAUACAGGGUGACAGCCCCGUACACAAAAGCGCAUGUGUUGUGAGCUCGAUGAGUAGGGCGGGACACGUGGUAUCCUGUCUGAAUAUGGGGGGACCAUCCUCCAAGGCUAAAUACUCCUGACUGACCGAUAGUGAACCAGUACCGUGAGGGAAAGGCGAAAAGAACCCCGGCGAGGGGAGUGAAAAAGAACCUGAAACCGUGUACGUACAAGCAGUGGGAGCACCCUUUGGGGUGUGACUGCGUACCUUUUGUAUAAUGGGUCAGCGACUUAUAUUCUGUAGCAAGGUUAACCGAAUAGGGGAGCCGGAGGGAAACCGAGUCUUAAUUGGGCGUUAAGUUGCAGGGUAUAGACCCGAAACCCGGUGAUCUAGCCAUGGGCAGGUUGAAGGUUGGGUAACACUAACUGGAGGACCGAACCGACUAAUGUUGAAAAAUUAGCGGAUGACCUGUGGCUGGGGGUGAAAGGCCAAUCAAACCGGGAGAUAGCUGGUUCUCCCCGAAAGCUAUUUAGGUAGCGCCUCGUGAACUCAUCUCCGGGGGUAGAGCACUGUUUCGGCUAGGGGGCCAUCCCGGCUUACCAACCCGAUGCAAACUGCGAAUACCGGAGAAUGUUAUCACGGGAGACACACGGCGGGUGCUAACGUCCGUCGUGAAGAGGGAAACAACCCAGACCGCCAGCUAAGGUCCCAAAGUCAUAGUUAAGUGGGAAACGAUGUGGGAAGGCCCAGACAGCCAGGAUGUUGGCUUAGAAGCAGCCAUCAUUUAAAGAAAGCGUAAUAGCUCACUGGUCGAGUCGGCCUGCGCGGAAGAUGUAACGGGGCUAAACUAUGCACCGAAGCUGCGGCAGCGA
rnacentral:rRNA from 1 species